rnacentral:misc_RNA from 1 species
UAUUUGACAUAAAGCAAUUUAAAAUAAUAAUAUUAUUAAAAAAAAUAAGUAACUUCCUUCAAAAGCUGCAUCUGAAUGGUAGGUACAAAUCGAUGUGCUUUAUUAAAAACGAUACUUAUAAAAACUUAAUACUCAGGUCAAAGAAAGGAAUUCCAGUGAAAUAUUUCUUAUUAGCGGAUAUAAGGAAUGUUCAAAUUUAUCUUGGCAAAGGUCUUGUAAGCUUUCUAACCUCAGUCAAGCCAGAUUUAACCACUUUCAGUUACUAAAUAUAGCCACCAACAUAACAA